CAUGUCUUUUUGAAAAUAAUUUAAAGUCUAAUCUGCCCACUGAAUUUUUUUAAAGGGCCGCAGUAACCUGACUGUGCAAAGGUAGCAUAAUCAUUUGUCUUUUAAUUGAAGGCUUGUAUGAAUGAUUGAACGAGGUAAAAGCUGUCUCAUUAUUAAAAUUAUAAUAAUUUAACUUUUUAGUCAAAAGGCUAAAAUUUUUUUGAAGGACGAGAAGACCCUAUAGAUCUUUAUAAUAAAUAUUAAUUUUAAAUUUUGGUUAUAAACUAUUUAAGUUUAAUAUUUAUUAUUUUGUUGGGGUGACAUGAAAAUUAAAAUAACUUUUCAUAAUUUCUUACAUUAAUAAAUGUUUUUUUGAUCCUUUAUUAUUGAUUAGAAGAAUAAGUUACCUUAGGGAUAACAGCGUUAUUUUAUUGGAGAGUUCAUAUUGAUAAUAAAGUUUGCGACCUC
rnacentral:rRNA from 1 species